UACGUAGGGGGCAAGCGUUGUCCGGAUUUAUUGGGCGUAAAGAGCGUGUAGGCGGCCUGAAAGGUCAGCUGUGAAAACUCGAGGCUCAACCUCGAGACGUCGGUUGAAACCAUCUGGCUAGAGUCCGGGAGAGGAGAGUGGAAUUCCUGGUGUAGCGGUGAAAUGCGCAGAUAUCAGGAAGAACACCCGUGGCGAAAGCGGCUCUCUGGAACGGUACUGACGCUGAGACGCGAAAGCGUGGGGAGCGAACAGG
rnacentral:rRNA from 1 species